rnacentral:lncRNA from 1 species
AAAGUCUUGCAUUGUUGGGCAGCCUGGGUGGUGCAGUGGUUUAGUGCCGCCUGCAGCCCGGGGCCUGGUCCUGGAGACCCGGGAUCGAGUCGAGUCCCAUGUCGGGCUCCCUGCAUGGAGCCUGCUCCUCCCUCUGCCUGUGUCUUUGCCUCUCUCUCUCUCUCUUUCUCUCUCUCUCUUGUUCUGUGUGUCUCUAUGAAUAAAUAAAAAAUCUUUAAAAAAAGUCUUGCGUUGUUUACCUUGUUGUUUUAUUUUUCCAGCUGUGAUGAAGGCUAUACGGGGGCGAGAUGUGAGAGAGUUGACUUGUUUUACCUCAGAGGAGAUAGAGGGCAGAUUUUGGUGAUCUGUUUGAUAGCAGUUAUGGUCAUAUUUAUCAUUUUGGUGGUCGGUGUCUGCACAUGCUGUCAUCCACUGAGGAGGCGUCGUAAAAGAAGGAAGAAAGAAGAAGAAAUGGAAACUCUGGGUAAAGAUAUAACUCCAAUAAAUGAAGAUAUUCAAGAGACUAGUAUUGCUUAAUGACUAUGAAGUUACCUCCAGGCUAGUGUCAAGCUGCAAGAUGCCUGGCUUGUUUGAAAAUGGACAGAAUGUGUCUCAGGAAAAUAGCCAGGAGAAAUGAAUUUUAAAUAAU